rnacentral:rRNA from 1 species
GGAAGGAUCAUUAAUGAAUGUAUAAAUGGCGCAGUCGAGGAAUUUGGGGGAAAAACAGCUGUCGCUGGCCUUGUAAUUGAGGCAUGUGCACGCUCCCUGAGGACCUCUUCGACGUCUAUCAUCUCAUCUCUCUCACCUGUGCACCUAAUGUAGGUCUGCAUGGUUUUGGUAAAACAGAACUGUGCUAGAGCCUCUCUCUCUGCUCUGCGGGGGGAAAGGACAAAGUACCUAUGUCUUCAAAAUACAUCUUCGUGUAGAAAGUCUUAGAAUGUUUACUAUCAUCGAGUCGCGACUUCUAGGAGACGCGGGUCUUUGAGUUAAAAGUUUAUUACAACUUUCAGCAAUGGAUCUCUUGGCUCUCGCAUCGAUGAAGAACGCAGCGAAACGCGAUAUGUAAUGUGAAUUGCAGAUCUACAGUGAAUCAUCGAAUCUUUGAACGCACCUUGCGCUCCUUGGUAUUCCGAGGAGCAUGCCUGUUUGAGUGUCAGUAAUUUCUCAACCCCUCUUGAUUAGCUUCGAGGGGGAGUUUGGAUAGUGGGGGUUUGCAGGAAACUUGGGCUUUCUAGUUUAAAGUCUAGGAUUCGGGCUCUCCUGAAAUACAUUGGCUUUCGGUCGACUUUCGACUUUGCGUGACAGGCUUUCGGCGUGAUAAUGAUCGCCGUGUGCUGAAGCGCAUGACUGUAAAGUUCCGUGCCUCUAAUAUGUCGACCGACUCUCAGUUGGUCUNCCUUAUUGACUUUUUGACCUCAAAUCAGGUA